rnacentral:rRNA from 1 species
GGUAUGACUCUCGGCAAUGGAUAUCUUGGCUCUUGCAUCGAUGAAGAAUGUAGCGAAAUGCGAUACGUGGUGCGAAUUGCAGAAUCCCAUGAACCAUCGAGUCUUUGAAUGCAAGUUGCGCCCGAGGCCAUUCAGCCAAGGGCAUGCCUACCUGGGCACCAAGC